UUUGCUGUGCGGGUCUGCCGCCGCCCCGCUGGGUGCUGUCAGGCAAGCCUCCGACUCUACAACAGGGCACUGUCACCUGCCCGGCUGGUGCUUCUGUGAGGAACAGGCAGAGACAGUCGGUGGCCCACGGGAGAUGCCAACUUCAGGGACCCCCCCUGAGGACAAUGAAACAAUGACAGCUACUGAGUCCUGCCCUGUGCACGUGACAUUCAUUCUCUCGUCACAAGGGCUCCUGGGGCCAUAUUUUCGUGCCACCCCCCAUGCGAACAGGAGGAGAGCGGGUGACACCCAGAUCUUCAGCUGGCAGGCAGCGCCCACCUUCCUACCUUUACGGAAAUUUUCCCUCCCCAGCACCUUCUAGAACUUUAAGAAAACCAUGUUACAUUAUAUGCAUUUUUGGUAAAAGUCCUCAUAUUCUAUAUGGAACUGAGAUGAGAUAUUCAUUAAUAGAUGAAUAAAUAUCACCCUCUUUCUCCUGACUAUCCCUAAUUUAUCCUUUCCUCUCCUUGCCGAGGGCGGCUGGAGUCUGAAGAGAAGGGGCAGGUGGGGAGAGCGCAGGGGUAUUCUAUGACCUGUGUCACUUAGGAUUUGACAAUCAGUUGCUCCUUAAGGAUCCAACACAAAACGUCAUGGCUCAAAACCACCACCAUCUUGGCGGCUUCCAAUUCUUCCCUUUCGGCUGAGCGUUCCAGGGAUGUCGUCCCACAUAGCUGCGCUCAGGGCAGCUGAAGCCACGUCUUUCUCCCUAGUCCCCGGCCUCCCUCUCCCUCACCACGGGCUUCUCCGAGCGGUCUCCCAACACGAUCUUACCCGCACGCCAGCCAGACUUGCCAGGUGGCUGCUCUGGGCUUCCAAGAAGACAAAAGCACCAGCUGCCAGCCCUCCUCAAGGCCCAGGCCUGGACCUGGUGCAGACUGUCACUUCUGCCACAUUCUGUAGUUAAAGCAUGUCACAGGGCCAGCCUGAACUCAAGGGGGGAGGCGUGAAGACUAAGUGGUGGCCGUCAUUGAGAGGGCCGACAAAUUGUCAGACGGUAGCAAUGCCCGUGGAAAGCGUUGGAAACAGUGCAUGAUUGUUGUAACAGUGGUGAUUGGGGUGGUGGGGAUAUGGCUACUUUGUGUUUUUCUAUCUUUUUUAAAUUUCCUCCU